UACGGGGGGAGCAAGCGUUGUUCGGAUUUACUGGGCGUAAAGGGCGCGUAGGCGGCCAGCGCAAGUCAGUUGUGAAAUCUCCUGGCUUAACUCGGAACGGUCAACUGAUACUGCGCGGCUAGAGUGCAGAAGGGGCAACUGGAAUUCUCGGUGUAGCGGUGAAAUGCGUAGAUAUCGAGAGGAACACCUGCGGCGAAGGCGGGUUGCUGGGCUGACACUGACGCUGAUGCGCGAAAGCUAGGGGAGCGAACAGG
rnacentral:rRNA from 1 species